UGGGGAAUAUUGCACAAUGGGCGCAAGCCUGAUGCAGCCAUGCCGCGUGUAUGAAGAAGGCCUUCGGGUUGUAAAGUACUUUCAGCGAGGAGGAAGGCGUUGUGGUUAAUAACCGCAACGAUUGACGUUACUCGCAGAAGAAGCACCGGCUAACUCCGUGCCAGCAGCCGCGGUAAUACGGAGGGUGCAAGCGUUAAUCGGAAUUACUGGGCGUAAAGCGCACGCAGGCGGUCUGUCAAGUCGGAUGUGAAGUCCCCGGGCUCAACCUGGGAACUGCAUCCGAAACUGGCAGGCUAGAGUCUUGUAGAGGGGGGUAGAAUUCCAGGUGUAGCGGUGAAAUGCGUAGAGAUCUGGAGGAAUACCGGUGGCGAAGGCGGCCCCCUGGACAAAGACUGACGCUCAGGUGCGAAAGCGUGGGGAGCAAACA
rnacentral:rRNA from 1 species